rnacentral:rRNA from 1 species
AGAGUUUGAUCCUGGCUCAGGAUGAACGCUAGCGGCAGGCCUAAUACAUGCAAGUCGAACGGUAAGGUCUCUUCGGAGAUACACGAGUGGCGGACGGGUGCGUAACGCGUAUGCAACCUACCCUUUAGUGGGGGAUAGCCUGGAGAAAUCCAGAUUAAUACCCCAUAGUAUCUAGAAACUGCAUGGUUUUUAGAUUAAAACUCCGGUGUUAAAGGAUGGGCAUGCGUGACAUUAGCUAGAUGGUGAGGUAAUGGCUCACCAUGGCAACGAUGUCUAGCUGGUCUGAGAGGAUGAUCAGCCACACUGGGACUGAGACACGGCCCAGACUCCUACGGGAGGCAGCAGUAGGGAAUAUUGGACAAUGGACGCAAGUCUGAUCCAGCCAUGCCGCGUGAAGGAAGACGGUUCUCUGAAUUGUAAACUUCUUUUAGCAGGGAAUAAGUCAGUGGUAUAGUCACUGUUGAAGGUACCUGCAGAAUAAGCACCGGCUAACUCCGUGCCAGCAGCCGCGGUAAUACGGAGGGUGCAAGCGUUGUCCGGAUUUAUUGGGUUUAAAGGGU